UACGAAGGGGGCUAGCGUUGUUCGGAAUUACUGGGCGUAAAGCGCGCGCAGGCGGUCUUCCAAGUCAGUGGUGAAAGCCCGGAGCUCAACUCCGGAAUUGCCAUUGAAACUGUUAGACUUGAGGAUGAGAGAGGUGAGUGGAAUUCCCAGUGUAGAGGUGAAAUUCGUAGAUAUUGGGAAGAACACCGGUGGCGAAGGCGGCUCACUGGCUCGUAACUGACGCUCAGGCGCGACAGCGUGGGGAUCAAACAGG
rnacentral:rRNA from 1 species